GAACCCACUUAUGUUGAAAAAUGAGGGGAUGAGCUGUGGAUCGGAGUGAAAGGCUAAUCAAGCUCGGAGAUAUCUGGUUCUCCUCGAAAGCUAUUUAGGUAGCGCCUCGUGUGUCACUCUUGGGGGUAGAGCACUGUCUCGGCUAGGGGGUCAUCCCGACUUACCAAACCGACGCAAACUCCAAAUACCAAGAAGUGUUAGCACGGGAGACAGACUGCGGGUGCUAACGUCCGUAGUCGAAAGGGAAACAACCCAGACCGCCAGCUAAGGUCCCAAAUUAUGAUUAAGUGGGAAACGAUGUGGGAAGGCUUAAACAGCUAGGAGGUUGGCUUAGAAGCAGCCAUCCUUUAAAGAUAGCGUAACAGCUCACUAGUCGAGUCGGCCCGCGCGGAAGAUAUAACGGGGCUAAAUCAUAAACCGAAGCUGCGGAUAGGUCCUUUUGGACCUAUGGUAGAGGAGCGUUCUGUACGCCAGUGAAGGAGGAUUGUGAAAUUCUCUGGAGGUAUCAGAAGUGAGAAUGCUGACAUGAGUAACGAAAGAAAGGUGAAAAACCUUUCCGCCGAAUGAUCAAGGUUUCCUGUCCAACGCUAAUCGGGACAGGGUAAGUCGGUGCCUAAGGCGAGGGCGAAAGCCGUAGUCGAUGGAAAACAGGUUAAUAUUCCUGUACUUCCUAUUAUUGCGAUGGAGUGACGGAGAAGGCUAUAUCAGCAGGGCGAUGGUUGUCCCUGUUUAAGGUUGUAGGCUGGUGCUUUAGUUAAAUGCGGAGCACCUUUAGUUGAGAACUGAUGACGAUCAACUUUUUAAGUUGAGAAGUGAUAGAUGCCAUGCUUCCAGGAAAAACUUCUAAGCUAUAGAUAGUAGGGAGCCGUACUGUAAACCGACACAGGUGAUCAAGUAGAGAAUACUAAGGCGAUUGAGAGAACUUGGGUUAAGGAACUAGGCAAAAUGGUACCGUAACUUCGGGAGAAGGUACGCCUCUAUUACGUGAAAGAACUUGCUUCUGGAGCGGAAAGAGGUCGAAGAUACCAGGUGGCUGCGACUGUUUACUAAAAACAUAGCACUCUGCAAACACGUAAGUGGAAGUAUAGGGUGUGACGCCUGCCCGGUGCCGGAAGGUUAAUUGAUCAGGUUAGUCCUCGGACGAAGCUUGUGAUCGAAGCCCCGGUGAACGGCGGCCGUAACUAUAACGGUCCUAAGGUAGCGAAAUUCCUUGUCGGGUAAGUUCCGACCUGCACGAAUGGCGUAACGAUGGCCAUACUGUCUCCAACCGAGACUCAGUGAAAUUGAAAUUGCUGUGAAGAUGCAGUGUACGCGCGGCUAGACGGAAAGACCCCGUGCACCUUUACUACAGCUUUACACUGAACUUUGAAUCUAAUUGUGUAGGAUAGCUGGGAGCCUUUGAAGCUGAUGCGCUAGCAUUAGUGGAGGCAACCUUGAAAUACCAGCCUGUUAUCUUUNGAGUUCUAACCCAGGACCGUAAUCCGGUUCGGAGACAGUGUAUGGUGGGUAGUUUGACUGGGGCGGUCUCCUCCCAAAGAGUAACGGAGGAACGCGAUGGUACCCUCAGUACGG
rnacentral:rRNA from 1 species